GGAGAAGGCUCAGCGAUCGCUGCGAUGUUUCGUCAUCGGAGAGGAAAGUCCGGGCUCCGCAGGACACGGCAGUGGGUAACGCCCACCCGCCGCGAGGCGAGGGAGAGUGCCACAGAAAGCAAACCGCCGAUCGGGGAAGUUCGCUUCCCAGGAGGUAAGGGUGAAACGGUGAGGUAAGAGCUCACCAGCGGUUCGGGUGACCGAACCGGCUUGGUAAACCCUGCCGGGAGCAAGACCAAGCAGAGAGGAGGUGCGGUCCGCACCGUUUGACUCUCGGGUGCGUUGCUGGAGGCGUCGAGCAAUCGUCGUCCUAGAGAAAUGAUCGCUCUCGACAAAACCCGGCUUACAGGCCUUCUCCGGCU
rnacentral:RNase_P_RNA from 1 species